UACGGAGGGAGCUAGCGUUGUUCGGAAUUACUGGGCGUAAAGCGCGCGUAGGCGGCUUUGUAAGUUAGAGGUGAAAGCCCGGGGCUCAACCCCGGAACUGCCUUUAAGACUGCAUCGCUUGAAUCCGGGAGAGGUGAGUGGAAUUCCGAGUGUAGAGGUGAAAUUCGUAGAUAUUCGGAAGAACACCAGUGGCGAAGGCGGCUUCCUGGACCAAUACUGACGAUCAGGUGCGAAAGCGUGGGGAGCAAACAGG
rnacentral:rRNA from 1 species